CAAUUAGAAGCCGAUUGGGUUUUUAGGCUUCAAAUUUCUUUUUUUUUUUUUUUUUGGGAAUUGGGAUUUUUAUGAUUUGGAGAAACGGAAACUUUGACACAAAGAUAAGAUUAUUUUUUGGCAGCUAGGAACGGAGAAGGGAAUGCUUGAAAUGGUGUAAUUAGAGAACACUUCAGACAAGAUACAACUAGAGAAGAAGACUCGAGGGAUUAAGGGAAAUGGAUCGAUAACUUGGAAGAAACUAGUUGCAAUGAGAAACCAGUUAUAUUUCAAAAAAAAAAAAAAAGAGAAGAUUCCAGCUAAGUAAAGAGAGAUAAUCUCGACAGAGACAGGCAGCCCAAAAAGAAAAGAAUUGAAGCACAUGCCCAUUUUUCAAGUCUUUCUAUUAAAAUAUCACAUUUUCUUAUUUAUUUAGAAAUUAUGGAAAUCUUUGAUUCUCAUUUGAUACCCAUCCGCACAGGGAAAGCUAUGUUGACUAGUUUCUCAGGUUAUUUUUUCACUUAUCUUUUAUCUUUUUUAUCUGAAUGACCUUGAACAAAAAAAAAUAUAUCUGAAUGACCUAUGUUCUACAUAUUCUUCUGUUUGUCAGUCCUUGUUUAUAUCUUUCAUUAAACUCUGAUACAAGUUUUGUUUCUGUUUCUUUGAUCUUUGUCUCUGGACAAACUCUAAUUAACGAAAUAAACAGAAACGAAACUUGCUAAAUAAUUUGGGACAGAUUAAAUGGUUAAAUAAUUUAUAAACUAUUGUCACAAAUUAAAUGGCUAAGUAAUUUAAAAAUAAAAAUUAACAAAAAAGAGAUAUUAAAGUUUGUGUUUUUUCAUGAAUCUGGGUUUCAUUGCGGUAAGUUGAAAUAAAAAAGAGCUAAACCAAUCAAAUCUAACCACAUUCUCACUUCUUACGAGGUCAGUUAGAAGUUAACCAACUACUUUCACUAAACAACCAUAUCUUAACUUGUAAGAGCCCGUAAUUCCGUAUACAUACUUAUAAGGGCGUAUUUACCAAAUAACCAAAAUCAUAACUGAAAUUAAGUGUAUGAUAUUGAUUUUGACCAAAUGAAAAAAUUAACAUUUAAGCUUCAUGUUAUUCGGUUGUACCCUCCAUAAGUGCAAGUUGCUGGUACAAAAAUAAGAAGGAGAUGAUGUUGAUGGUUUAUGGUGUGGACACUUUUAUGAGAUUGAUGUGCAGAAUUGAAGUUUAAUAGGACCUCUACGUAACUUUUUUUUACCCCAUACAUUUAUUAAUAUACGUAGUAAAUAAGUGGAUACGAUACAAUACUUUGCAGAAUUGGAAUUUGGUAAGACAUCCACGUACUAUUCUAUGUCAUCAACAUAGUACCAGCACACAACAUGUGGUGGAAACCAUACAUAAUAAACCCACCUUUAACCUAUGACUACAAUACCCAAACUCUUACUUAGUAAAUCUAAAUUCUAGGUAUGAACCUAUAAAUCUAAAUACAAUAUAUAAAUUGUUUUCCAAUAUUAGAUAUUUGAAGGACAUUUACUUGGUUAGAAGAUUGUAUAUAUUUUAUUUCAUAUAGUCUAAAUCCUAAUCAAGAAAGUAUAAACCCAAAUAGAAUGUAUAUAAUAUGGUUUACUAUACUCAAACCAUUACUUAGUAAAUCGAAACUUUAGAUAGGAAUCUAUAAAUCCAAAUACAAUUUAUAAUUUUUUUUUAAUAUUAAACAUUUGAAGGCAUAUUUACUUGGUUAGCAAAUUACAUAUUUUCUAUUCUAUACAAUCUAAAUAGUAUAAUAAAUCAUUCAAACCGUGUAAGUUACAAAGUAAACAUUACCCAACCCAACCACUAAAUACGAAAACCUAAACUUCAAACACUAAACCCAAAUCCAAAUAUAAACUAUAAUAUAUAUUUAUGAAAUUUUAAAUAUAUUAUAUGCGUUCACUGUAAAAUCACAUUAAUAGAAUAUAACAAAUAAAUAUUACAUUGCAACUUUUAAAAGAGGGGGAUACUAUAGUUGGCAAAGGGGAAGAGGAGAGUACGGUGUUUUUAUCAACUCCAUCCAACGAUGGUUGAAAUAAUUAGUAUAAUAUACUUCAAUGUAUGUUUGUAAGUUCUCUCCAUACACAUGACAUUAGAUAAUGUUGAGAUUACAAUAUAUGAAUAGAAUAGUCUGCCAAAUAUAACAUGGUUUAAAUUGCUAUUCUUUGUCGUUGUUGCUUCGCCGUAGCAAUCUUUGGCAAUCGGAUAAUCAGCGAAGAAUCACCUUCGCGAUAAUACCAUUACACACAGUUUUCUCUAUCGGAAAGAUCCGUCAAGAUUAAAGACGAUGAAAAAGCGAUGGAAUAAAUUUGGAAAUGAGGGGUUAUGACUUUCCAAUUGCCACGAUUUACUUUUGUUACAUAAUAAUUUAUUCAUUUCAUUUUUUCUCUAUAGGUUUUACCGGUUGCUUCAAAGGACAAUAUGACAAUAUUACAUAAAAUACAUAUGGCACACACAAAAAGUAGGGCAAUUAGUCAUAGAUUGAAUUAUAAUUUGUUUGAUAGCUAAAUGCUUUCCCUACUUAUAAAGUUUUUUUUAACUAAGGCUUUCAUUCAACUUAUAAAAGUAAUUACAAAUAGAAAUAUUCUUUUCGUACUCUUUUCUCAUACCAAAUAAGAAUUUUUUUUCAGUUUUCAUUGAGUACAAUUUAACCUAAUAUCCAAGAUUGACUACUCAUUCAUGCACCAAAGAACCGUGCGACUGUGAGAAAACCCUUUAUAACAAUGUUUUUAAUCCUGAUAGAGAUACUGAACUAAAUUAUUUUUCAGGGUCACCGAUCGAUCAUAAUCAAUAGAUUAAUAAAUGCUAAUAUGUAGUUAUACAUAAAUAUAAUAUUAUUAACUAUUGGAAAUAAGAUAAUAUACAGUAUUCAUGUUUUAUUUACAAAAUAUAAUUCUUGGAUCAGUCUGUUCUGCCAAAAGCUCACGUUUCAUGGUAAAAUCAUGGACUUGAAUGGCUUAAAACUAGAGAUGGCAUUUUGACCGCAGCCCGCGGGCCUGGCCCGUACAAGACCCAUGCGGGGCGGAUUUGGGUAAAGGUAAUCGAAGCCCAUUUAAAAGCGGGUCUCGCGGGUAAGUGUCAUGCGGGUUUGGGCUUUUGCGGUCUAGGCUCAGCGGGUCUUGCGGGGUCGACAUAACCCGCGACCACUUCCUCAUUUGCUGUCUUUACACCUGAAAAAAAAGAGUCAAGAGACGAAAAUGGCGAUCAGGGUUCUCUACAGCACGACUCCACCAACGAGCACCAGAGGAGCAGCACCACCAACCGAUUCUUCUUCUCCUCGACUAAGACCACCAUCAGAGCUUCUCUCCAUCUUCUUUCCACCACCACUGGAGCUUCUCUCCUUCCUCGAGCUUCCACUGGAACUCUCCAUCUCCUCGUCCGAAGCAAGUUGCACCGUGCAACAACAACAACAACAACAUCUUCUCAAGCUCACCCCAAUGAAACAUCAUGUUUUGCAUACCCGCGGGCCAGCCCGCAAUGUCCUAUGUAGUAAGCGGGGCGGGUUUGGGCAGAGGUUUAAGUACCGCGGGUCACGGCGGGCUUACCCGCAAAGAACCGCCGGAGAGAGAGACCGCAGCGGGGCGGGCCAAUGCGGGGCGGGUGGUACCAAAUGCCAUCUCUACUUAAAACAUUCGAGUCCGUAGUCAUUUGAUUCUUCUUUUAUUAUUUAUAACUGAAUUUUAAAAUCAGGAAACCCUAAUUUUGAUUUCUAGGUUGUGUAUCGAAAGGGAAGAAAAUGAUAUCUCAAUUCUUGGAUCAUACUGGGUUGUGGAUAGCAGUCUGUUCUGUCAAAAGCUCACACUACAUGGUAAAAUCUUGGCUGGAAACAAAACCAAGAAAAAUCAAAACUUUUCAGAGAUUCUCGAGAAGGUUGAAGGAGAAGGACACUUAUUUCCAUGGCGAACAAUUUAUAUCAUGUAUGUAAUUAAAACAAACAAAUCAUUUUUUUUUCCGAAAUGUUCUACAUGUAAAUACAUCUUUGGUCAUCAAUUAAUCGACCGGUCAACUCUGAUUGACUCGGUUUAGUUUCUGUGAUCUGAACAUGAAAUUUCCUAUAGUAUGAUUUUUCACUGCGGAUCGAAAAUUUGUUUGUGGUUUAAUACGUUUCUCGAACGAUCUGUUAAAUAGUUUUUAUUUGUGGAUUUUUUAUUUAAGCUGCGUUUUAGAAUACUUAGGUAUGUACACCAUAAAUGAUAUUGGCCUCUUGUAACGGAUUUGGAUUUCAACUGGAAAUCCAUUAAUUGAUUAUUGACAAAUGUAAUGGAUUGUACCAGGUACUACUCAAUGUACAUACAUGUGGUGAAACUAGCACAUGGGAUUAGGAACGGUGCUGCUUCGGUUGAUGGUGUCGAUGCCAAACUCCGGCAGGUCAGUCAGUGCUCUCUUUACUGACUUUUCUAUGAAGCAUCUCUGACAAUUCUAGGCUACAAUGAGAUACAAAAACUGACCAUCAAAUCUUUGAAACAGAAUAGGAGCUGUAGUUAGAAAGAAGUUCUUAUGUCUGAAUGAAAGAGGGAAUACAUUUCUAUAUAUUCUAUUACUGGUGAAUAUAUAUGCCACCAUUCUUUAGGGUAUGUGAUAAUUUUUUGAGUGAUUUAACACUUUUAAUCUCACUGAUGCAUGUUGUCAGCUACCUUAAAUUUAACUUGCAUCCUCUGAAAGAAAUACGAAGACAUUCAUACUGAAGCAUCGAGUGAAGCGUUUUUCUCUUGACAGGUAGUACCAGAGACGAUCCAAGAAGAUGUGAUCUUUAAAAUGAGUGCACCACCAAAGAGUGAUGCUCCUCUUAUCACCUCCAACGACCUUGCUGAGGCUGAUGGGUUUGUCUUUGGCUUCCCAACAACGUUCGGUAUGAUGGAAUUCAAGGCAUGCAACGGGCAGGAAUAUUUUAGGCUCUCAAGCAUAUAUAUUUUUUGGCCCAUUAAUUAUUAGCUUUUCAAAAAAUUCAAAUAUAUCUGCCGACAGUUUAAACCCACGAUCUCAAACCUUCGUACUAAAGCCAAACACCAAUAGAACUGUAGGCAUUUUUAUACAAAAUAUUGGCCCCUUAAACUAUUAAACAAUUUUGGCCCCAAGCUCAUGCUUGACCAGCUUGUGGUCCAAUCCGGCCCUGUUGGUGGCCUCUGGAGAACUCCACAACUUGCUGGUAAGUCAGCCAGAAUCUUCUACAGCUAGCACCGGGCCUCAAGGUGGUGAUCAAGAAACCAUCGAGUAAGUUUUUUUUCAAUCCAAAACAACACCUCAUCAAAGACAAUUGCUUCAGUUUCUACGUUUUGGAAUGUUUAUUUAUGUUAUCAUUGAUUUCUAACACAACCUUUUGUAAUCUUUGUAAGCAUCAGUCAAAAACUAUUUUCAGGACUAACUCUACUUUUAUAAAUCUUGAUCUCAUACAGUUAAGCAAACAUAAGAAUCUUUUCUCAUUUUUAUUUAUUUCUAAACAGAAUAAUCAAGAUAUAUGUUUACAUCUACAUGUUUGGUUGCUAAUGACAUUUAUAGCAUAUGGUGAGUUGGUUUGGAUCGCCUGAGCAAGAUCCUGAAAGAUCCAAAAAGAUCAAAGUUUAAUAGGACGAAGAACAAAAGAAAAACAAAUCCAGAAAAAGAUCAAAGUUUCACUUCUUUUUUUAUUAUCAAAGAUUAAUUUGGAUCGCCUGAGCAAGAUAAUAACAGUAUCAUACAAAUUCUACUAACCCCUUUGCUGAGCCCGACAAAACAUCAAAAAAAAAAUACAAAAUCAAGUAAUACCCAUAUGUGUGUAAAUAUUUUUCAACUAUUAAAAAAUAUAGCUACCUAAAUUAAAAAAAAAAUCAAAAAAGAAAAUUUCAUAUCCCUAUUCAAAUCCACGUGCUCGAAUUAAACUCGAAAUUGUAUCGGUUUCUAACAUUGUUAUUUGAACAAAAUCAAAAACCAAAAUAACUAAAUCCAAACAAAAUCCAAAUUCAUAAAUAACCAAACAGUUUCUAUGUCUCUUGAAUCGGAAACCAAAAUAUACAACAGAAAACAAAAAAUAACAA